rnacentral:rRNA from 1 species
CCAACAGGGAUUGCCCCAGUAACGGCGAAGUGAAGCGGCAACAGCUCAAAUUUGAAAUCUGGCCCCUAGGGCCCGAGUUGUAAUUUGCAGAGGAUGCUUUUGGCGAGGUGCCUUCCGAGUUCCCUGGAACGGGACGCCAUAGAGGGUGAGAGCCCCGUCUGGUUGGAUGCCGAGCCUCUGUAAAGCUCCUUCGACGAGUCGAGUAGUUUGGGAAUGCUGCUCUAAAUGGGAGGUAUAUGUCUUCUAAAGCUAAAUACCGGCCAGAGACCGAUAGCGCACAAGUAGAGUGAUCGAAAGAUGAAAAGCACUUUGAAAAGAGGGUUAAAUAGUACGUGAAAUUGUUGAAAGGGAAGCACUUAUGACCAGACUUGGACCCGGUGAAUCAUCCAGCGUUCUCGCUGGUGCACUUUGCCGGGCUCAGGCCAGCAUCAGUUUGCCUCGGGGGAUAAAGGCUUUGGGAAUGUGGCUCCCUCGGGAGUGUUAUAGCCCAUUGCACAAUACCCUGGGGCGGACUGAGGUUCGCGCAUCUGCAAGGAUGCUGGCGUAAUGGUCAUCAGUGACCCGUCUUGAAACACGGACCAAGGAGUCGUCUUCGUAUGCGAGUGUUCGGGUGUAAAACCCCUACGCGUAAUGAAAGUGAACGCAGGUGAGAGCUUCGGCGCAUCAUCGACCGAUCCUGAUGUUCUCGGAUGGAUUUGAGUAAGAGCAUACGGGGCCGGACCCGAAAGAAGGUGAACUAUGCCUGUAUAGGGUGAAGCCAGAGGAAACUCUGGUGGAGGCUCGCAGCGGUUCUGACGUGCAAAUCGAUCGUC